rnacentral:rRNA from 1 species
AUUGAACGCUGGCGGCAGGCUUAACACAUGCAAGUCGAGCGGGGGAAGGUAGCUUGCUACUGGACCUAGCGGCGGACGGGUGAGUAAUGCUUAGGAAUCUGCCUAUUAGUGGGGGACAACAUCUCGAAAGGGAUGCUAAUACCGCAUACGUCCUACGGGAGAAAGCAGGGGAUCUUCGGACCUUGCGCUAAUAGAUGAGCCUAAGUCGGAUUAGCUAGUUGGUGGGGUAACGGCCUACCAAGGCGACGAUCUGUAGCGGGUCUGAGAGGAAGGUCCGCGAGACUGAGACUGGAACACGGGCCAGACUCCUACGGGAGGCAGCAGUGGGGAAUAUUGGACAAUGGGGGGAACCCUGAUCUAGCCAUGCCGCGUGUGUGAAGAAGGCCUUAUGGUUGUAAAGCACUUUAAGCGAGGAGGAGGCUACUGAGACUAAUACUCUUGGAUAGUGGACGUUACUCGCAGAAUAAGCACCGGCUAACUCUGUGCCAGCAGCCGCAGUAA